AGCGAACGCUGGCGGCAGGCCUAACACAUGCAAGUCGAACGAAGUCUUCGGACUUAGUGGCGGACGGGUGAGUAACACGUGGGAACGUACCUUUUGGUUCGGAACAACUCAGGGAAACUUGAGCUAAUACCGGAUGAGCCCUUAGGGGGAAAGAUUUAUCGCCGAAAGAGCGGCCCGCGUUAGAUUAGCUAGUUGGUGAGGUAAAGGCUCACAAAGGCUACGAUCUAUAGCUGGUCUGAGAGGAUGAUCAGCCACACUGGGACUGAGACACGGCCCAGACUCCUACGGGAGGCAGCAGUGGGGAAUCUUGCGCAAUGGGCGAAAGCCUGACGCAGCCAUGCCGCGUGAAUGGUGAAGGUCUUAGGAUUGUAAAAAUCUUUUACCAGGGACGAUAAUGACGGUACCUGGAGAAAAAGCCCCGGCUAACUUCGUGCCAGCCGCCGCGGUAAAAC
rnacentral:rRNA from 1 species